GAUUAUAAAACAGUGCCAAUGUUUUCAUGAAGGGGAGUAAGACUUGUGGUAUACUAUAUCUUAAAUACAAGUUAGCAAUUAUUGCUGCUUUUCAGUAUGCGUAGAGUUUUAGAAUGGUCAUUGGAGCUGACUUUUAAGGUUAGCAUUACAACUUGUCCCUACAGUUUGAUGUUGGAAAUGGCUAUUAGAGUUGACUUUUAAAGAUAAUAAUUACUGUGGCUGAAGGAUAUAAUUGUGGGAUUAAUUCUCCAUACUCCUUAGAGAUGUUGUGAAGGUUCUUCACAUGUUGACAGCUGGGGACUCUCUCUUCACAAGACAUCAGAUUUAAGAUCCCCAUUCUGACAGGACAUUGCUGCUGAUUUGUACAUCCUGCACUACCAAACAGACGCCUUACUUUUGCAAAGAUUUUACUACCAGUCUGAAGAAGACCAAGAGUGACCAUAUUUCCCUUUGGGGUCUUUCUAACUCUACCAAACAGUUUCCAAUAUGAACGGUUCAUAUAAAUCUUGCAUAAACAAGAGCAAGAAUGUAGUUGAUAAAUUCUAAAAUAAUUAAUGUAAAGAUUCUCCAUUUUCAACAAGAGUGGAAGUUUUAGUUCAAGGUUAAUGUAUUGUGUUUUGAAUUUUCACCUAAUUUCUUUUUCUCCCUAAUCCAUUAAAUGCUAUGGAUUUUUGAAGUCCAUGGUUAAAGUUUCUCAAACAUCAAUAACCAUGUCAAACCUUCGAAUUUUGUGAAUAAUUAAAAGCAGAAGCAUAUUUUUAUUCAAAGAUAGUAUCAAAAGCAAAACUUGGAAUUCAUUUUUUUUUAUCUCACUUAU